UGGGAUUCCUGGAGGUUGUUCAGAUGACCAUGCCUUUCAGGGAUUUGAGGACAGCUUCCUGUGCCCUGAAGUCUGUUCUUUCUUAGCCCCAAUAAGGGAGCAUAAAGUAGCUGCUUACACAUUCCUUUCAUCCCCAGAUCAUUCUCCUCUGGGUCUCUGCUCACAGACCUUCCAUCAAGAAAUUCACUACAGUGUGUUGGAACAGUCUAUGUACCUGACUACCACACAAGGGCUGUUGUAAGGAUCAAAUGGCAUCAUGAAUGGAGGGUACCAAGUCCUGCACCCAGCCUGCAGUGACUAGCACCUGCUCCCUGCUGAACAUGGUGGCUGGGGCUGGACAUGGUCCUUGGGGGUGUGAUCUGAGCAGCCUGCAGCAUUCUGGGCCUUUCAACUGCCGCAUCCUGGUACCAGUCUCAUGCUUCCUGGUACCCUACAGAUGGCUGUCUCCUGGUGGAGUCACCAGGUUGGAGGGGUCCUCAGAAUGCCAACAGAACAGAGCAGCCCUGAGCUCCGGCA
rnacentral:lncRNA from 10 species